rnacentral:rRNA from 1 species
UACGGGGGGGGCAAGCGUUGUUCGGAAUUACUGGGCGUAAAGGGCUCGUAGGCGGCCAACUAAGUCGGAUGUGAAAUCCCCAGGCUUAACCUGGGAACUGCAUCCGAUACUGGUCGGCUUGAAUCCGGGAGAGGGAUGCAGAAUUCCAGGUGUAGCGGUGAAAUGCGUAGAUAUCAGGAGGAACACCGGUGGCGAAGGCGGGUCUCUGGGCCGAUACUGACGCUGAGGAGCGAAAGCGUGGGGAGCGAACAGG